rnacentral:rRNA from 1 species
AUUGAACGCUGGCGGCAGGCCUAACACAUGCAAGUCGAGCGGAGCGGCGGACGGGUGAGUAAUGCCUAGGAAACUGCCUGGUAGUGGGGGAUAACGUCCGGAAACGGGCGCUAAUACCGCAUACUAUCAGAUGAGCCUAGGUCGGCUUAGCUAGUUGGUGGGGUAAAGGCCUACCAAGGCGACGAUCCGUAACUGGUCUGAGAGGAUGAUCAGUCACACUGGAACUGAGACACGGUCCAGACUCCUACGGGAGGCAGCAGUGGGGAAUAUUGCACAAUGGGCGCAAGCCUGAUGCAGCCAUGCCGCGUGUAUGAAGAAGGCCUUAGGGUUGUAAAGUACUUUCAGCGGGGAGGCGUUACCCGCAGAAGAAGCACCGGCUAACUCCGUGCCAGCAGCCGCGGUAAUAC